rnacentral:tRNA from 1 species
GCCGGAGUGGCGGAAUGGUAGACGCGACGGACUCAAAAUCCGUUAUAGGUGACUAUGUGUGGGUUCAAGUCCCAUCUCCGGUA